rnacentral:rRNA from 1 species
ACGUAGGAGGCUAGCGUUAUCCGGAUUUAUUGGGCGUAAAGCGCGUGCAGGCGGUCUAUCAAGUUGGAUGUGAAAGCUCCUGGCUUAACUGGGAGAGGGCGUUCAAAACUGAUAGUCUAGAGAAUGGUAGAGGGAGGUGGAAUUCCGGGUGUAGUGGUGAAAUGCGUAGAUAUCAGUAGGAACACCAGUGGCGAAAGCGGCCUCCUGGGCCAUUACUGACGCUAAGAUGCGAAAGCGAGGGUAGCAAACAG